UAGGGAAUCUUCGGCAAUGGACGAAAGUCUGACCGAGCAACGCCGCGUGAGUGAAGAAGGUUUUCGGAUCGUAAAACUCUGUUGGUAGAGAAGAACAAGGACGUUAGUAACUGAACGUCCCCUGACGGUAUCUAACCAGAAAGCCACGGCUAACUACGUGCCAGCAGCCGCGGUAAUACGUAGGUGGCAAGCGUUGUCCGGAGUUAUUGGGCGUAAAGCGAGCGCAGGCGGUUUAUUAAGUCUGAUGUGAAAGCCCCCGGCUCAACCGGGGAGGGUCAUUGGAAACUGGGAGACUUGAGUGCAGAAGAGGAGAGUGGAAUUCCAUGUGUAGCGGUGAAAUGCGUAGAUAUAUGGAGGAACACCAGUGGCGAAGGCGGCUCUCUGGUCUGUAACUGACGCUAAGGCUCGAAAGCGUGGGAAGCAAACAGG
rnacentral:rRNA from 1 species